rnacentral:rRNA from 1 species
UACGUAGGCAGCGAGCGUUGUUCGGAAUUACUGGGCGUAAAGGGUGCGUAGGCGGUUGUUUAAGUCUGUCGUGAAAUCCCCCGGGCUAACCUGGGAUGGCCGAUGGAUACUGGACAGCUAGAGUGUGUCAGAGGAUGGUGGAAUUCCCGGUGUAGCGGUGAAAUGCGUAGAGAUCGGGAGGAACAUCAGUGGCGAAGGCGGCCAUCUGGGGACAACACUGACGCUGAAGCACGAAAGCGUGGGGAGCAA